rfam:Salmo salar isolate Sally breed double haploid chromosome ssa02, whole genome shotgun sequence.
UACACUCACUACUGUAAGUCGCUCUGGAUAGGAGCAUCUGCUAAAGGACAAAAA